ACGGGAGGCAGCAGUGAGGAAUAUUGGUCAAUGGGCGGAAGCCUGAACCAGCCAUGCCGCGUGAAGGAAUGAGGCCCUAUGGGUCGUAAACUUCUUUUGUGCCGGAGCAAUAAGGCGUACGUGUACGCCGAUGAGAGUACGGCACGAAUAAGCAUCGGCUAACUCCGUGCCAGCAGCCGCGGUAAUACGGAGGAUGCAAGCGUUAUCCGGAUUUAUUGGGUUUAAAGGGUGCGUAGGCUGUGCCGCAAGUCAGAGGUGAAAGCCCGGGGCUCAACUCCGGAACUGCCUUUGAUACUGUGGUGCUGGAAUGCGGAUGCCGUGGGAGGAAUGAGUAGUGUAGCGGUGAAAUGCAUAGAUAUUACUCAGAACACCGAUUGCGAAGGCAUCUCACGAAUCCGCUAUUGACGCUGAGGCACGAAAGCGUGGGGAUCAAACAGGAUUAGAUACCCUGGUA
rnacentral:rRNA from 1 species